AGUGAACGCUGGCGGUAGGCCUAACACAUGCAAGUCGAACGGCAGCACAGUAAGAGCUUGCUCUUACGGGUGGCGAGUGGCGGACGGGUGAGGAAUACAUCGGAAUCUACUUUUUCGUGGGGGAUAACGUAGGGAAACUUACGCUAAUACCGCAUACGACCUACGGGUGAAAGCAGGGGAUCUUCGGACCUUACGCGAUUGAAUGAGCCGAUGUCGGAUUAGCUAGUUGGCGGGGUAAAGGCCCACCAAGGCGACGAUCCGUAGCUGGUCUGAGAGGAUGAUCAGCCACACUGGAACUGAGACACGGUCCAGACCCCUACGGGAGGCAGCAGUGGGGAAUAUUGGACAAUGGGCGCAAGCCUGAUCCAGCCAUACCGCGUGGGUGAAGAAGGCCUUCGGGUUGUAAAGCCCUUUUGUUGGGAAAGAAAAGCAGCAGGUUAAUACCCCGCUGUUCUGACGGUACCCAAAGAAUAAGCACCGGCUAACUUCGUG
rnacentral:rRNA from 1 species